rnacentral:rRNA from 1 species
ACGAACGCUGGCGGCGUGCUUAACACAUGCAAGUCGAACGAUGAAGCCUUUCGGGGUGGAUUAGUGGCGAACGGGUGAGUAACACGUGGGCAAUCUGCCCUGCACUCUGGGACAAGCCCUGGAAACGGGGUCUAAUACCGGAUAAUACUUUCCUCUGCAUGGGGGAGGGUUAAAAGCUCCGGCGGUGCAGGAUGAGCCCGCGGCCUAUCAGCUUGUUGGUGGGGUGAUGGCCUACCAAGGCGACGACGGGUAGCCG